rnacentral:rRNA from 1 species
UACGAAGGGGGCUAGCGUUGUUCGGAAUCACUGGGCGUAAAGGGCGCGUAGGCGGCUUUAUAAGUCGGGGGUGAAAGCCUGUGACUCAACCACAGAAUUGCCUUCGAUACUGUAGAGCUUGAGACCGGAAGAGGUAAGUGGAACUGCGAGUGUAGAGGUGAAAUUCGUAGAUAUUCGCAAGAACACCAGUGGCGAAGGCGGCUUACUGGUCCGGUUCUGACGCUGAGGCGCGAAAGCGUGGGGAGCAAACAGG